rnacentral:rRNA from 1 species
AGAACGAACGCUGGCGGCAGGCUUAACACAUGCAAGUCGAGCGCCCCGCAAGGGGAGCGGCAGACGGGUGAGUAACGCGUGGGAAUCUACCGUGCCCUACGGAAUAGCUCCGGGAAACUGGAAUUAAUACCGUAUACGCCCUACGGGGGAAAGAUUUAUCGGGGUAUGAUGAGCCCGCGUUGGAUUAGCUAGUUGGUGGGGUAAAGGCCUACCAAGGCGACGAUCCAUAGCUGGUCUGAGAGGAUGAUCAGCCACAUUGGGACUGAGACACGGCCCAAACUCCUACGGGAGGCAGCAGUGGGGAAUAUUGGACAAUGGGCGCAAGCCUGAUCCAGCCAUGCCGCGUGAGUGAUGAAGGUCUUAGGAUUGUAAAGCUCUUUCACCGGUGAAGAUAAUGACGGUAACCGGAGAAGAAGCCCCGGCUAACUUCGUGCCAGCAGCCGCGGUAAUACGAAGGGGGCUAGCGUUGUUCGGAAUUACUGGGCGUAAAGCGCACGUAGGCGGAUAUUUAAGUCAGGGGUGAAAUCCCAGAGCUCAACUCUGGAACUGCCUUUGAUACUGGGUAUCUUGAGUAUGGAAGAGGUGAGUGGAAUUCCGAGUGUAGAGGUGAAAUUCGUAGAUAUUCGGAGGAAC